CAGGUACAGCGGGAAGCCACCUGGCGACAGGGAGCGGAACCCGAAAGCCUGUCUCAGUUCGGAUUGGAGUCUGNAACCCGACUCCAUGAAGCUGGAUUCGCUAGUAAUCGCGCAUCAGCCACGGCGCGGUGAAUACGUUCCCGGGCCUUGUACACACCGCCCGUCAAGCCAUGGAAGCCGGGGGUGCCUGAAGUGCGCUGCCGCAAGGAGCGCCCUAGGGUAAAACCGGUGACUGGGGCUAAGUCGUAACAAGGUACC
rnacentral:rRNA from 1 species